rnacentral:rRNA from 1 species
UGUAUACCUCCGUCGAAAACUUACCAUUUGAAUGCCCUAAAGUAAGUUUAAUAGGCCUCAUACGCCAAUACGUCAGGUCAAGGUGCAGCCUAUAAAAUGGAAAGCAAUGGGCUACAAUUUUUAACAUAAAACAAACGAAAAACUACAUGAAACAUAGUCAUGAAGGAGGAUUUAGUAGUAAAAGAAGAACAGCAAACUUCUUU